AGGGGGAGCACUUUUAUCCUAUUUAAUACAUAUUCACACACAGACACAUCUACAAAGGAACUUCUUUGAAGUUUGGCCUCUUCUUAGCUCUAUAGCCUUGGGCAAGUUAAUUUAUUUCUCUUUCCCUUGGUUUUCUCAUCUAGUGAAGUUAUAAUAGUACCUGUUUCAGGGGUUGCUGUAAGAAGCGAGUUAACACAUGAAGCUCUUGAAGCCGUGUCUGCCGUCUAUUUCCUACUAGAUUGUCCUAUAUGCAUCAGGUCUCAUUAAUGUUAUUAUUGACAACAGUUAUGUUGUGCCUAGACUCCACAACUUAAGCCCUAAAUAUUGAGUGGUUCUACUAAGGCAUUGUCCCUUAAACUUGGGUUGAGUGCAAAGCUGCCUCUGGGGCAAAGUGGUUACUGUCCUUUUCCCUGUCUCCUAAGUUACCUUCUUUGUAAACAGCCCAAGUAAAAUGGGACUCCAGGGAGUGGCUGGCACACCACUGAACUGUUUGAACAUCAGAUCACAGGGAAACUCCACGAAGAGCCUAGAAGAAGGCAAACAGUUAUGUGACUGACGUCUCAGCCACGCAUUUGAUAGUAACUCAAGAUCUGAGCUGAGAGAAACCGGAGUCCUUGAAAGGCGGCUAACGGCGCCCCUCCCCACCGCCUCCCAGUCGCUCUACGUGGAUACAGAUAUGACUUGCUUUUGUUACAGUUGGAUCACAGAACCUCAGGCCUUGAAUGGAUCCUUGACUUUCUCAUAUUUGGACAAACAACAGCUUCAAAGUUGCCUACAAUGUACUAAACAAAGUUAGGAGAACUGCCCCAGAUAUGAUGAAAUUGUUUCCUUAAAAGGAUUGUCCACAAAGAUGUGGUAUCAUAGAAUAAAAUCCUAGGAGAAGUCUGUGAGGUCUCUGAAAUGAACUCAUCGCUCCGUGACGAAGACACAAAAAUGCAAAGAACAUUAUUUGGAAUGUGUAGGUUUCAUGACGUCUCCCAUAUAUGGUAAGAUGCAG
rnacentral:lncRNA from 1 species